rnacentral:rRNA from 1 species
UACGUAGGGGGCAAGCGUUGUCCGGAUUUAUUGGGCGUAAAGAGCGUGUAGGCGGCUAGAUAGGUCCGUUGUGAAAACUCGAGGCUCAACCUCGAGACGUCGAUGGAAACCAUCUGGCUAGAGUCCGGAAGAGGAGAGUGGAAUUCCUGGUGUAGCGGUGAAAUGCGCAGAUAUCAGGAAGAACACCCGUGGCGAAGGCGGCUCUCUGGUACGUGACUGACGCUGAGGAGCGAAAGCCAGGGGAGCAAACGGG